UCUCAGUAACAAACAAAAACCGAAGUAUCCCCAGUGUAAAAAAAUGGCGAUGAUCAGCGACCAAUACUAAUCACAAGCUCUCUUCGUAAUCAGAAACCAAUACUAUGUCCUUACAACGAAGUAGUAAUUAAAGGAUCUAAAUCGCACAAUACUCUGCAUCAAAAACACAAACCAAGAUAUCUCUAAUUCGUACAUUGUUACAUUCAUAAGCUAAACCAG